GCCACAUGAUGACCUGAUGAGUCAGCAGCUCUCGGGCCGUGAUGACCUCCCAUCUAUCACCCUUGUCUGAUGGCU